GAUGAAGAACGCAGUGAAAUGCGAUAAGUAGUGUGAAUUGCAGAAUUCAGUGAAUCAUCGAAUCUUUGAACGCACAUUGCGCCCCCUGGUAUUCCGGGGGGCAUGCCUGUUCGAGCGUCAUUACAACCCUCAAGCUCUGCUUGGUAUUGGGCCCCGCCAGUUCUGGCGGGCCCUAAAGUCAGUGGCGGUGCCUUCCGGCUCCGAGCGUAGUAAUUCUUCUCGCUCUGGAGACCCGGUUGUGUGCUUGCCAACAACCCCCAAUUUUUUAAGGUUGACCUCGGAUCAGGUAGGGAUACCCGCUGAACUUAAGCAUAUCAAUAGCGGAGGA
rnacentral:misc_RNA from 1 species